GCGGGUGUGGCGGAACGGUAGACGCGGAGGUCUCAAACACCUCUUCCGCAAGGAGUGUCGGUUCGAAUCCGACCACCCGCACCA
rnacentral:tRNA from 1 species